rnacentral:rRNA from 1 species
UUGAACGCUGGCGGCAGGCCUAACACAUGCAAGUCGAGCGGUAGCACAGAGAGCUUGCUCUCGGGUGACGAGCGGCGGACGGGUGAGUAAUGUCUGGGAAACUGCCUGAUGGAGGGGGAUAACUACUGGAAACGGUAGCUAAUACCGCAUAACGUCGCAAGACCAAAGUGGGGGACCUUCGGGCCUCAUGCCAUCAGAUGUGCCCAGAUGGGAUUAGCUAGUAGGUGGGGUAACGGCUCACCUAGGCGACGAUCCCUAGCUGGUCUGAGAGGAUGACCAGCCACACUGGAACUGAGACACGGUCCAGACUCCUACGGGAGGCAGCAGUGGGGAAUAUUGCACAAUGGGCGCAAGCCUGAUGCAGCCAUGCCGCGUGUGUGAAGAAGGCCUUCGGGUUGUAAAGCACUUUCAGCGGGGAGGAAGGCGAUAAGGUUAAUAACCUUGUCGAUUGACGUUACCCGCAGAAGAAGCACCGGCUAACUCCGUGCCAGCAGCCGCGGUAAUACGGAGGGUGCAAGUGUUAAUCGGAAUUACUGGGCGUAAAGCGCACGCAGGCGGUCUGUCAAGUCGGAUGUGAAAUCCCCGGGCUCAACCUGGGAACUGCAUUCGAAACUGGCAGGCUAGAGUCUUGUAGAGGGGGGUAGAAUUCCAGGUGUAGCGGUGAAAUGCGUAGAGAUCUGGAGGAAUACCGGUGGCGAAGGCGGCCCCCUGGACAAAGACUGACGCUCAGGUGCGAAAGCGUGGGGAGCAAACAGGAUUAGAUACCCUGGUAGUCCACGCCGUAAACGAUGUCGAUUUGGAGGUUGUGCCCUUGAGGCGUGGCUUCCGGAGCUAACGCGUUAAAUCGACCGCCUGGGGAGUACGGCCGCAAGGUUAAAACUCAAAUGAAUUGACGGGGGCCCGCACAAGCGGUGGAGCAUGUGGUUUAAUUCGAUGCAACGGGAAGAACCUUACCUGGUCUUGACAUCCACAGAACUUUCCAGAGAUGGAUUGGUGCCUUCGGGAACUGUGAGACAGGUGCUGCAUGGCUGUCGUCAGCUCGUGUUGUGAAAUGUUGGGUUAAGUCCCGCAACGAGCGCAACCCUUAUCCUUUGUUGCCAGCGGUUAGGCCGGGAACUCAAAGGAGACUGCCAGUGAUAAACUGGAGGAAGGUGGGGAUGACGUCAAGUCAUCAUGGCCCUUACGACCAGGGCUACACACGUGCUACAAUGGCAUAUACAAAGAGAAGCGACCUCGCGAGAGCAAGCGGACCUCAUAAAGUAUGUCGUAGUCCGGAUUGGAGUCUGCAACUCGACUCCAUGAAGUCGGAAUCGCUAGUAAUCGUAGAUCAGAAUGCUACGGUGAAUACGUUCCCGGGCCUUGUACACACCGCCCGUCACACCAUGGGAGUGGGUUGCAAAAGAAGUAGGUAGCUUAACCUUCGGGAGGGCGCUUACCACUUUGUGAUUCAUGACUGGGGUG